CCUCCUUUUAAAGGAGUAUCUCGGAGCGAUCCGAGAGAGGUCGAACCAGUAAUCGGUUAGGCCGUCGCAUACUAGAGAAUUAUGGGCUUGUAGCUCAGGUGGUUAGAGCGCAUCCCUGAUAAGGAUGAGGUCCGUGGUUCGAGUCCACGCAGGCCCACUUGAUCUACAAAUCCCAAAUUUAAAUGGGGCUGUAGCUCAGUUGGGAGAGCGCCUGAUUUGCAUUCAGGAGGUCGCAGGUUCGAUCCCUGUCAGCUCCACCACUAAAAAUUUAAAGUUUUUUGACAAUUUGGAAAUUGGAAAGAUUGAAUCACCUGUUCGGUGAUUCAAUGUAGCCAAGUCAUCUUCAAGAACAACACUUUGGUAAAGCUACUAAGGGUGUACGGGGGGAUGCCUAGGCACAUGGAGGCGAUGAAGGACGUGAUAAGCUGCGAUAAGCCUCGGGUAGGUGCAAAUAACCUUAAUCCGGGGAUUCCGAAUG
rnacentral:misc_RNA from 1 species